UAAAGCCGUAAGGCGCGGUUGGAGCGGCCCAAAUCUCAUUAGCUAGUUGGUAGGGUAACGGCCUACCAAGGCAUCGAUGAGUAGCUGGUCUGAGAGGAUGAUCAGCCACACUGAUACUGGAACACGGACCAGACUCCUACGGGAGGCAGCAGUUAGGAAUUUUGCGCAAUGGGGGAAACCCUGACGCAGCAACGCCGCGUGAGUGAUGAAGGCCUUCUUGGUUGUAAAGCUCUUUUAGCAGGAACGAAUACA
rnacentral:rRNA from 1 species